CAUUGAGGUUGGUAAACACUAGUAUUAUCUUGUCUAUGCAAAGCUCUGAUAAUAUAUUCUGCAAAAUGUUUUGCUUAGUAGUUUCACAUUUCUCCAGGAAGCAUUGUAUCCCCUGGUAGAUCACAGACAGCGAUACCCUAAAAGGAAAAUGAAAACAAAAAAGAAAAAGAGAAAAAUAUUUAGUUCAUUCCGCGAUAAAGAAGAAAACAAAAAAUUUCAAGAGUAUCUCGUGGCUGUUUAAUAAUACUCACCUCUCCUGUAAGGUGAGCUACACAUCUUUUCUCCGCGAGCAACUCAUCUUCUGACUGCACAAUUUUAAUAACUUAAUUAAAUUAUAUCUCACCACGUCUUUUUAACCAUGUUUAACUGUGUGACCACCUCGGUUGAAUGUUUAAAUGAUUAGAGGGAGGACAUAAUUACUUAAUUAUAUUAGGUCUCAACACAAUCUCGAGCAGUAGUUUUCUUUAUGUUAAAGACUGUGUACUUCAAAAUUCCCAAAUUAGAGAAAAGGUUGAGCA
rnacentral:lncRNA from 1 species